rnacentral:rRNA from 1 species
GCCUCAGAACUACAAUAGAUUGACGGGGGCCCGGCCACAAGCGGUGGAGCAUGUGGUUUAAUUCGAUGAUACGCGAGGAACCUUACCUGGGCUCAAAUGUAUGUUGACGUAUUCUGAAAGGGAUACUUCUUCGGACAAUAUACAAGGUAGCUGCAUGGUUGUCGUCAGCUCGUGCCGUGAGGUGUCGGGUUAAGUCCCAUAACGAGCGCAACCCCUAUCAUUAGUUGCCAUCAGGUCAAGCUGGGGACUCUAAUGAAACUGCCUACGCAAGUAGUGAGGAAGGUGGGGAUGACGUCAAAUCAGCACGGCCCUUACGUCCAGGGCUACACACGUGCUACAAUGGCCGAUACAGAGGGCAGCUACCUGGUGACAGGAUGCAAAUCUCCAAAGUCGGUCUCAGUUCGGAUCGGAGUCUGCAACCCGACUCCGUGAAGUUGGAUUCGCUAGUAAUCGCGCAUCAGCCAUGGCGCGGUGAAUACGUUCCCGGGCCUU